UUCUUCUUCAAUGGGAAUGGGGGGGUGCGAAGGCAAGGUGCCGAAUAUGGGCUAAAUAAACGGAAGAAAAACUGCACACAUAACGGAGCGGGAUGCGUGUAUGUGGCAACCAGCGGGCGAAUAUGGGCGAUGAGUGUUUGAGCAGCAGCUCGAAAUGUUCUUAUUUCAGCAUCUUUUUUAUUCCCGCCUUGAUGCUCUGAUGAGCGUAAAGCUGGAGGUGAUGUUUCAUUCAGAGUGGCAGCUGUUGGCAGAGCAUACGAGGAGGAAACACACAAUAUGCACGUUUUGUCUGCUAUUUAACGUUCUAUUCAAACUGCAUGAAAAGGCUUUAAAGACAGAUUAUUUCUAGUUCAUUCAUUCUCUCGUGGAGGGGUGGCCGGACGGAGCCCGGGCCCCAGCGAAAGGUCACAGAUGAGCCAAACAAACCCGCUCGUCUGGUUAGAUGAUGAAACGCAUCAGUGAGAGAGCAACUUAUAAUUAUCAGACGUGGUUUUGGCUCCGCUUUGAGGGAGAACGGCCUCAAUGACGCAUUGUUGCACGGGCUUUCGUGUGCGCCAUCCACGGGGAGCCACAGAGGCCAAAAGGCAGCCCUGAUAUCAGUCCUCACACACCUCCAGGCACCCAGCAGGGUCACUUCUGCGGCUCGGCUCUGCUCCCAAAAAACACCCACCCGAUACGACACGAUCAGGGUCUGGGGACCAAGAUAGAAACCCCCGUUUUGUGUGUCCAAAUUAUGCCCUUGCAGGACUCUGCUCAGAUAUGGAGGAUUAUCAGCAGACAGGCCGGCAAUGCAUGCGUAAUAAAACAAAGUGGUGGUGUUCACACCCAGAGCUGGGCGGAUCCACAAGGCCAAGUAUCCAGUCCACACGUGUGCACCGAGUACGGAGCCUGUGCCGAGAACACGUGUGCGCCCCUCGGGACACACCGGGUGGAGAGUAAACCGGGUCCGUGGAGCUUUUUUGGGGGGAGGAGGGUUGAAGCAACAAAAAACAGAAACUAGGAUUAUGCAACGUUUCACAUGAUGAACAUGAGAGUAAUAUUGUGCACGCACGCAGAGGGUCAAUGCGAGAGGAGAGGAGAGGGGGGGGUAGAAAAUGAAAAGAGCGGUUGCAAAAUCAAAAUCAUGUUUUUAUUACCUUUCAAAAUUAAAAUAAACAAUUUAAUGUUUUAAUUUAUUGAACUAGUUGCACCACACAGACGGAGCCAAAGCUUUUUGUGCCAUUGCAGUGUGUUUAAAGAGGGAUCAUCACUGAUCACUGCUGUAUGUUGUGCGUUUUUAUUAUUGUGACAAUCCUCAACUCUAGGAAAAUAAAUCUUGUGCAGUUUUAUAAAAUCAGCAACUUGAGGUCUGCACCCUUUUUACGCCUAUCGCCACUGACUUUAAAGAAAGAAAAAACAAACACUUUCCCUUGCUGAUUGUCUCUACUGUUCAAAAGAAGGCUGCAGUAUGUAAAAAAGGAGUAAUUUGGCUCCUCCGCGCUGUGCAGACCAUUUAAAGAAUAAAACGAUGGUCUCUUUUUUUCCAGGGAUCCCUGGAGAGGCAUUCAGCGGCCCGACAACACGUGGCUUACUGUAUAGGUAAUCAGCUCCCACCGUCACACAUCACACACAGGCUUCCGUAUAGUCACGUCGGAUAUUUUGGGAAGUUUGAGGAAAUAAUACAAUUUACAUUUCAAGAAAUAAUAACUACAUGAUAUAUGAUGGAGGUGCAUAGUUGUUAAGCUAAUACAGUUAAACAUAUGGUUCGGAUCUUACGGCAGAAGAGUAAUUAUGUGUAAAAACAUGAAGAUUUAAAGACGUAUCGUGAAAACAGCCACAGUUCAACACAUCACAAUGCCCAACAUUAUGCAAUUAUUUUAUAAAAUCCAUACCAUAUCGGGGAUGUUCAGUAGCUUCAGUAUAUUUACACAGGACGUGUGGAAAAUGUAUUACGUGAUUUCGACAAAUCGUAAUUUUCAGCUAAUUAGCUCCACACACUUCAGUGUGGCCGUGAACACUCAAAGUGUGUGUGUGUGUGUGUGUGCGUUUGUGUUCAUCAGACUCACAGUGUGUCUGCACACAUGCCUACACAGUCAAGUCACUGUUCUUCGUCCAUUCUGGUUAUUUCAAAAACACACUUAUCCACCUUUAAAUAUCGCUUUGACGUGCGUAAUAUACUUUCUGUCGUGCGUAAAACUCACGCGUAAUUGCUUUUCUUGCCUCAAAACGCAGCAUUCAAGCUGAUAAUUCAACCUGUUUCAUAAAAUGGCGUGAGAUUAAAUGUUUUUUUUUUUUUUUUUUUACCACGUGGUUUUUAUCAGAAGAUAACCAACGCGACUUCAUAAUAGGAUUUUUUUUUGCUAAUGAGCUCUGUACCUUCGCUGUAAUUAUUUCCAAUUAGAGGCACCGGAUUUGUUGACGUCACGCACGUUUUGGCCAAUAGCACAGCCUGAUGAUGGUUUGGAGAGAAAGAACUAUGAGCUCGACUGAUGCUUUGAAUGUGUGUUUGGAUUUUGUCUGAGCUGAGGUGAGUUGAAGAAAAGAGGCGGCUGUGUGUGUGACACCGCGAGGCUCUUUUGGUUUAAACUUUUGCAGAUCAGAGACACUUUAAAAUCUCCACAUGCUUAAUUUUCUGAAGUCACAGCGUGAAUAAUUCCUCGGGUGAAAUGUAUCGUGAAAAGCGAACACUGUGGGGUUAUAAACCCAGAAGACGAUUGUUGAAAGCAGUGUUAAAUGAAGGGACUAUUAAUGAUAAUGGGGGGAAUAAGUGCAAUCUGCAUGUAAUUAUCUUUCUCUUUAUCCAGCUUGGAAAUCGUGAAAAUACAUCUGAUCUAAAAAAACAAAAAACGAGUCAUAAAGCUCACAGCAACAGUCUGCAGCGAUUGGAAAUGUUAAUGUGAAUAUUGCAUCAUUCCCGUUUAAAAUAAUAUUGUGAUGAAUUACUGAUGAGUUUGAACACCAAAGUGAUUGAUGAGUUUUUUUAGCAAAAAGUAAAUUAAAACACGUUUUUUAACGAUUUUCAAAUAAAACAAAUAUUGGAUUUUUCAAAAUGUUUCAAGUUAUUAAUGUACCUUAAAAUACUAUUAAAAAUAUUACUGAAACCAUUAUGUAAAUAAGGCAAUUAAGGUAUUUUAAUAUUUAAAAAAAAAAAAAGAAUUAUUUGAACUACUAUUCCACCUAACUGAGCUAUUUAUGAAGGAACCAUUGAAGGAAGAUUUUUUUUUAAAUUCAUGACUGCAGCUGCACAAAUGUGUGAGUGUGUGUGUGUGUGUGUGCAUUUGUAAGCCUGCUUUCUAAAAUCGUCUGCAAUUAUGUAUCUAAACGUGAAAAGUACAUUAGCUACGUACGCGCGUGCGUGUGUGUGAUCCAGUGCUAUAGCAUUCUGGGAGCUGAGGCAUGUUUCUGCUCUCGAAGGGCCUCACUUUGUCCUUGUGGAUUGAAACAAAGCACCUUGACGAAGAUCGGUGUUAAUGCGACAGCCUUCUGAACGGGCAACAAAACACCUUUCUUUUUAAAACACUACAUAGAUUCAGAGAGUAGAAGAAGAAAACCAGGUGCUUAGUGUAACCUGGAGGGAGAACAAUGCCAGAGGGAUUUGCUGUUUGCUAACGGGGAUGUAGCCGUCUCUGCUAACGCCUGCAUGUUGCCAGUCAAGUCUUGUAGUUUGAUUGUUCAGAUUUGUGAUGGAGGGGCGAGAAUAUUCUGUGCCCCCCCCCCCCUCUCUCUCAUUCUCCCUCAGUAUCUCUCCAUCUCUCCCCUCUGCUCUGUCAGUAGACCUUUACUUGGCGUUGGUGUUGGUGGGGGAGGAGCCUGCCACAACAGGGAUCUGGGCACACAGAGCAGCUUUAAUUAGAAGGGGGCCUUGUGCCAUGUGCCACCACAGCGUGUGAGAGGAGUGUGUGCUGCAGCAUUGUCUCUACCCGAACAUGUGAGACAGAGCUUUGCCUGCGUUUUGCUUUAUUUUUUCUGUAUUUCUGUGGACACAUGUGGGCGUGAAAGGAUACGUCUAUGACAUGUGCUUCCCGCUCCUGUACGUCUGGGUGGGUGCGUGUUUGCAUUACAUCACUGUUUGUGUAUAUUGUAAGGUGUUUAUAUGCGUUUUAAACGCCUCUAUCUUAACUUUGGUGCCAACCCUUGAGCGCAGGCCCGGCUUCUUUGGCAUCAGAUAAUGUAAAUGAAGACAAACCAGUUUCUUUUGUAGUCAAACAGCCGGGAUCUUUUAAUUUAAAAAUGCAUUUGGGCCGCGGCGGGGGGGCGGUGUUUGAAGCCAUCACCCUCCUAUGGAGCCAGUCAGCGGGUGAGGCGGACGCGCCAUAGGGAUGGGCGCCGGGCCGUAGAAGGGAGGGUUGGCGCCAUAGCCGUUUUUUUUAUUGGUGCCUCUCGCUAAUUGUUUGACUUUGUGAGGUUUUUGAUAUAGAGGCCUUACUUGCGGACCAAUCAAAGCUUUCUGUACACAAAGGGAGGCUUCCGAUUGGCUGAGGCGGUUUGAGGCGGGGUGAGGGGCCACUUGGUGACGUCACAAAAUGAAGGGGUCAGGACAUUUAAGGGCCGCUGUAGGUUGAGUGAGGGGAAAAAAAAGCCCAGAGGCAGAAGAGUAACGUCUUUGUUCAGAGUUGGUGUCAACUGCUGUUUUCUUUUCGGGGAUUUCUAGACUUUGCUGAUUAUUUACAUUAAUUCUAACACUCUACCAAGUUAGUCUGUGAUCAUUCAAAUCAUGUAAAAUUAAAAGACAUGUAAUUAUGUUUGUAUCACCAACUUUCUUCUUUGCUUGCAGGUCAGAACUUCGGCCAUGUCACUACGCCCGCGGCUUGAGAGGAUGGGUAGCCUUAGGGGUUGGUUGUUAUCUUUGGUUAUCUAGCUGUAUGAGUGAUGUACAUUCUUCAUAAAGCUAGAUAACCGAAAGUAACAAGAAUCCCAUUACACUCCUGAAAAGGCAUCAAGACCCCAAAACGCGCUUCCCUCCAAAAAAAAGCACAAACUGCCACAAGAACUGCAAGACAAUGAAGAAAAUGGACAAAAUUUAAAAGGAGUUGGGACCUGAAUGCUGCAAAAGGCUACCACCAACCACACCACUGAACGAAAGCUGGCAGAAAGGAGACUGAAAAACAGAGAAGAAGGAGGAGGAGGGGUUUCGGUUGAUUCUGCCCUCCCUCUCUUUUCGCCCUCCUCUGCAUCGCCUCUUCCCUCCUCCUCCUCCUCCUCCCUUCCUCCUCUGCUCCAUCCUCAGCAGACUGCCCCCUUUUUCCUGUACAGCGAGACGCAGCCCCGCGCCACCAUCUUAGAGCAACGCUGGCAUGAAAUGGAAGUGGAAAGACCAGUCAGUGCAGGUGAAUGUUGUCGGAGCCGAGGUGCGAUCUGAAGCGGCACUACUGCGGGGACAGCGGGACGUCUCCUUUUCGGGCCGGGAACAAACACGAAGAACGGCGGCUGAUUCCUGCGCACGAUUCCUGCCCGUGACUUUGGAAACGUCGCCGCUUCGUCCGCACCUCUUUCGUCGCAGCCGUGUGACGCAUCAUCUGACCCCAGCAGGACUGGCUGAGAACGCCUCGUGGACUGUGACUAUGGGGGGAAGACGAUCAGCAGCUUGAGAACGAACUGCUCCACAAGUGUUGUGACUCUUGAGGGUGUGGCACUUUGUAAUUAUUAUUCUUAGUAUAUGUACAACAACAACAGACAUGAAUAUAAAGCAUCUUCAGCUAACAUAUAGGCUUCACUUACUGUAGGUCUCAUUUGUUGAGUCGUCGCCCACGUUUUUUCUUGGGUUCCUGUUUUUUGUUGUAGUUGCUAGGACUCAGAGACACGUGAAUGUGAGACCCACGGCAGCAGUGAAUAAUACUGCACUGCGAUUGGACAGCUCCGUGUGUCGGCUGACACAGUGGCGAAGGAGUGAGCUGUCGUCUUUAUACUCUAUGCAACUGUUUUAUCUUCUUUUUUUGGGGCUUGGAGCCCCUUUUUCAUCCUCACUCUGGAUUCUUACUUUUGGGCUUCAAAGAUGAAGAAAAAUGUUUUUUGAGAAGCCUACAUUCCUGUUGCUAAUACAGAUAUUACAGUCAGAGUGUGUGUGUGUGUGUGUGUGUGUGUGUGUGACAAAUGACACAGCUCAGUUUCAUAAUGCAUCGAAUCUCAUAUUCGCAGCCUUAACAGACUUUGGUGAGACUGUGCAGCCAGUCUUGAGUAAACGUGGACCGGCGCGUUUAAUAUUCAAAGUGUGUUUGGUGAGCAGGAAGUAGCUGAGUGGGGCUCGUGGGCUGCGUGUAUACAGAACACGCCGCGCCAUUAAAACGCAGCAGUUUGGUUCACAGCAGCUAACCUGCAUCGCCGGGAGAGACAUGACAAAUACAUCAGCUUCAAACACUGUCUUAAUAUCCUGUCCUUGACAUACAGACACCCAGACACACACACACACACACACCCAGACACACACACACACACAUACCCAGACACACACACACACACAGAAGUGCAAUAAAGCAAAGUAUUAUCGCAGCCUAAUUCAUUCUAUAUUAAUUUUUCGGGAAGUGGCAAAUUCUUUUAUUACGAUUGGUAAUCUAUGCAAAUCUUUUACAUAUUACUUUAAACAAUCUUAUGUCUAUGCAGUGCUUUUUGCAAUUGAUUCAAGGGGGAGACUAUCUUGGCCUAAUUUAGAAAAUGUAUUCUUUUGAUAAUCAUGCACAUCCCAGUGCUCAAGACAAUUACUUAUCUGCCUGGAUAAGCUUGAAAUUAUGUUCUUAAUCUUUAGCAAAAAAAAAAAAAAAAAAGUCCAGGGGCAUAAAAACCCUGAAUUGUGGUCUGAAAUAAUUAAAUCGGUUGCACUAAGAUCUCAUUUUUUCUUCUUAAAUGCAGAUUAAACAUAUCUAUUGAGCUACGCCUCCAUGUAGCUAUUUUUGUUUUUUAUGUGCGCAGCCUUGUUUGUGUUGUGCAAUCUAAUGGCUGCGGAUGAGUGUUCACCACAUGUGCCUUUGUAUGGAAAAAUGUGUUGGAAUAGUAAUAAAGGUUUACAUUGAAAACAAUGGGAAAGAA